GUUUAGUCGAUCCUAAGAGAUGGGGAAUCCUUGUAUCAAGGGUGCACUCUUCAUGAACAUCGAAAGAGAAUUGGGUUAAUAUUCCCGAACUAGGACAUGUUGGUGGACGACAAUGUUAGGAAAUCUGGAGAUGUCAUCAGGGGCCUGGGAAGAGUUAUCUUUUCUUUUUAACGAGUUUCCCACCCUGAAAUCGGUUCAACCAGAGAUAGGGUCCAACAUUUGGAAGAGCACCACACAUCUUGUGGUGUUUGGUGUCCCCUCGAUAGCCAUUGAAAAUAUGGAGAACUGAGUACCAUCCAUGCUCGAUCGUACUCAUAUAUGCCUCAUU
rnacentral:ncRNA from 1 species